ACGGGAGGCAGCAGUGGGGAAUAUUGCACAAUGGGGGAAACCCUGAUGCAGCAACGCCGCGUGAAGGAAGACGGUUUUCGGAUUGUAAACUUCUGUUCUUAGUGAAGAAUAAUGACGGUAGCUAAGGAGCAAGCCACGGCUAACUACGUGCCAGCAGCCGCGGUAAUACGUAGGUGGCAAGCGUUGUCCGGAAUUACUGGGUGUAAAGGGAGCGUAGGCGGGAUGCCAAGUCAGCUGUGAAAACUAUGGGCUUAACCUGUAGACUGCAGUUGAAACUGGUAUUCUUGAGUGAAGUAGAGGUUGGCGGAAUUCCGAGUGUAGCGGUGAAAUGCGUAGAUAUUCGGAGGAACACCGGUGGCGAAGGCGGCCAACUGGGCUUUAACUGACGCUGAGGCUCGAAAGUGUGGGGAGCAAACAGGAUUAGAUACCCUGGUAGUCCACACUGUAAACGAUGAUAACUCAGGUGUGGGGGGUCUCACCCCUUCCGUGCC
rnacentral:rRNA from 1 species